AUUGAACGCUGGCGGCAUGCCUUACACAUGCAAGUCGAACGGUAACAGGUCUUCGGAUGCUGACGAGUGGCGAACGGGUGAGUAAUACAUCGGAACGUGCCUAGUAGUGGGGGAUAACUACUCGAAAGAGUGGCUAAUACCGCAUGAGAUCUACGGAUGAAAGCAGGGGAUCGCAAAACCUUGUGCUACGAGAGCGGCCGAUGGCAGAUUAGGUAGUUGGUGGGAUAAAAGCUUACCAAGCCGACGAUCUGUAGCUGGUCUGAGAGGACGAUCAGCCACACUGGGACUGAGACACGGCCCAGACUCCUACGGGAGGCAGCAGUGGGGAAUUUUGGACAAUGGGCGCAAGCCUGAUCCAGCAAUGCCGCGUGCAGGAUGAAGGCCUUCGGGUUGUAAACUGCUUUUGUACGGAACGAAAAGCCCUGGGUUAAUACCCUGGGGUCAUGACGGUACCGUAAGAAUAAGCACCGGCUAACUACGUGCCAGCCGCCGCCGUAA
rnacentral:rRNA from 1 species